GGGCUGCUGGGUUCAGCAAGAGAGGGCAAGACCUGACGGGACGAGGAAGGAGAGAGAUGCGAGGGCCCGGAGCACCGGACAGAAGUCCCCCGGGUGGCUCCGGCGACCCGUGAAGCGACCACCCUCGAGAUGCGAUCCCCGGCCAGCACAGAUGCCGGACGGGAGCCCGCGCGGAUCCGGGUCGCGCACUCUCACCGACGGCCAGCGUGAUGAAGGCCACCUGGAUGAAGAGCGACAGCCAGCUCAGCACGUACAUGAACCACAUGGCGCCCCCGCCCCACCCGCCCCCCGACCGCCAGGACGGGCCUGCGCGCUUCGGCUCCGGCGACACGGAGCCGCCGCCACCGUCGCCGCGUCCCCGCCCCGCGGACAGCGGGACGACCGUACGCCGCCGCCGAGAGAAGCACGGUCGGGGCGUAGCCCCCUGCCGAAUCCGGCCUAGCGCCGCCUGCCGGCGCGGAGGACCAACCGCCGCGGCUGCGUACAGCACAGCUCUCGGGGAGCUGCAUCCCCGGGGCUGCGCCAAGGGGACGGCCGGCAACGCACGGCCGGCGACGCAGCUCGCAGAGGCAGGACUGUCCCGGGGGGCGGGGAAGCGGCGCCUGCCGGAGGGACAGCCUUCGGUGUGCUCCCUGGGCUCUCCCGCUUCCAGGGUGGAGGGGUCCAGGGCGCGAGAGGGCCGCCUGACCGCUCCCCAAACAAGCACCGACCAGAAACCUCUAGGCAGGUUUGCCUACAGCACUUUAUCUCGCUACCGCAGGUAACCGGGACACAAUUGUUGCAUGCCUAACGCGUGCCAGGCACUGUGAUUAAAGGCUACGCUGCAUUUUCGUAAUGGAAGUUGAUUGGAUGACGUAGAUCAUUUUAUGGGUAGGGAAGCUGGGGCCAAGGAAGGUUACCUUGCCUCAGGUCAUACAUCUAGGAGGCGGCACAGGCAGAAGUUGGGGCGCCUUUAAAUCAGUCAUCUUCAGGCGUAACUCUCCCUUUAGGCUGAGUUCCUUUAGGGUACUUUCUUCAGCUUUGUAUCGCCUGCACACCGCCAGUGGCUGGCACGCAAGGCGCCCAGUUGCAGCCGAAUGCAUUUACUAUCUACCAUGGAGUGAGUUACCGAGGGGGAAGAAGGAGCAGGGCAGCCCUUGUUAAGAAGUUCUCCAUCUAGUGGCCAAGACAGAUAUGCAAACUAAAGUGUGCGGGAUUCGGCCAGGCUACUCCUCUCAGAAUAACCUUUACAUGCAUAAACGUAAAUACAAAAUUAAACAUUAAUCAAAAAUUAAAUAUAGAAUUACUAUAUGGUCCAUCAAUUACACUCCUGGGUAUAUACCCCGAAAUAUUGAAAGUAAUGACUCAAAAGAGUUAUGUAUUCACCAAUGUUCACAGCAGCAUUUGGUAGGCUCCUGGAUAGGAUAGGGCUGGUCACCAGAAAGACCAAGCCAUGAUUAGAAGCUUGGAACUUUUGGUCUCAUCCCCCAUCCUCCACAGAGGUGAGAGGGGCUAGAGAUUGAGUUAAUAAUCAGUCAUGCCUCUGUGAUGAAGUCUUCCUAAAAAUCCCAAUACUGUGGGGUUCAGACGUUGGUGAAUGCAUCCCAGUGCUUGGAGGAUGGCACACCCCAACUGCACAGAGACAGAUGCUCCUGAGCUGGGGACGCUUCCAGACCUUGCCCUAUGUGCUUCUUAACCUGGCUGUUCAUCUGUAUCUUUAUAAUAUCCUUUGUAAUAAACUGGUAAAUGUAAGUAAAUGUUUCAGAGUUUUGUCAGCCAAUUACCUUUGAGUUGUCAUUUCCAAGUUUUGUCUAGCAAAUUACCCAACCUGAGGAAGGUGGUGUGGGAACCCCCUACUUUGUAGCCAAGUUGGACAGAAGCGUAGGUCCCCUGGAGACCCGUGACUGUAACUGGCAUCUGACUUGAGGGCAGUCUUGUGGGACUGAGCCCUUAAACUUGCAAAAUAUCACACCAACUCCAUGUGGUUAGUAUCAGAAUUGAAUAAAAUUAUAGGACACCAAGUCUGUGUACAGGUUGUUGGACAAUUGGUUGAUGUGAGGGGAAAAGCCCACAUGUUUGGUGUCAUAAGGGUUGUGAGUAGAGAAACAGUUUUCCUUUAUUACCACAAUGACAAAGUAUGAAUGAACGUAAAUGAUGUUUCAAAAUACCUUCAAUCAUGUGAGAGAGUUAUGGAUAUUACUAACAAGUACUAUGAGUCUGUUGCCUUUAUUCACCAUGGAGGGAAAUGUUUAGUUUCAGUUAGAGGUUAUUAGUGCAAAUAAGAUGGAAUUUUUUUCCUUCCAAUUUUCCAGGGUUCUGGAGUUGAUCUCCCUGAAUUCUGUGUCCACUGUUGACUUCUAAGGUGUCCCAAACCCCUGCUUAAGAAUUCCUGGGAAGGGGGGCCUGGGUGGCUCAGUCAGUUAAGCGUUCGGCUCAGGUGAUGAUCUCACGGUUCAUGAGUUCAAGCCCCACAGUUGGACUCUCUGCUGACAGCUGGGAGCCUGGAGCCUGCUUCCAAUUCUGUGUCUCCCUCUCUCUCUGCCCCUCCCCUGCUGUCUCUCUCUCUCUCUCUCUCAGAGAUAAAUAAACAUUUUUUUUUAAUUUUAAAAAAAGAAUUACUAAGGAAUAUGUAUAAGGGGCAGUGGGAGCUUAAAGGGCUGUGUGCCUGUUUAUAAGCCUCUUUGUUGCAGCAUGGGGAAACACUGAAAACGAAAGUUUAUUAAUAGGAAAUUGGAUAAAGUACCUUUUAAUACAUCAUAGAGUAAAGCCAUAAAAACAAAUGAGGAUGGAAUAAGUCACGGGGAUGAAAGGUACAGCAGAGGGAAUACAGUCAGUGGUAUUAUAAUAGCGUUGUAUGGUGACAGAUGGUGGCUACACUUAUGGUGAGCAGAGCAUAGCGUAUAGACUUGCUGAAAUCACGAUGUUGUAUACCUGAAACCGAUGGAACAUUGAGUGUCACCCAUACUUUAAUAAAAAAGAAAAGAGUAGAAACGAACAACAAAAAUGAGGAUAUUCUUUAUGUACCCAUGUAAGAGGGUCCCCCUUUUGAAUAAAGUAAAAGACUGGGGAAAAACAAUCUAGGUAUUCUUUAUUUAGGUAUUUCUUUACAUAAAACAUUUCUGAAAGGAUACAUUACAAAAUGAUAACAUUUAAAAAAAUGGUAACAUUAUGGGGUGCCUGGGUGGCUUAGUCGGUUAAGUGUCCGACUGUGGCUCAGGUCAUGAUCCCGUGGUUCGUGAGUUCAAGCCCCGCGUCGGGCUCUGUGCUGACGGCUCAGAGCCUGAAGCCUGCUUCGGAUUCUGUGUCUCCCUCUCUCUCUGCCCCUCCCCCGCUAUCUAUCUCUCUCUCUUUCUCUCUCCCUCUCUCUCUCUCUCUCAAAAAUGAAUAAAUAUUAAAAAAAAAUUUUUUAAUGGUAACAUUGCUUUCUUCCUAGGAAGAGAGGGUGGGGUUCAAGAGUAAGAGAGAGCCUUUCCACUGUAUGUCUUUUUGUCUUCUUAAUACAUGAAACUAUGUAAGUAUAUGUAAAAACAUUACCUAGUCAUAAAUUAAGUUUAAAAUUAAAAUGUUCAUAGGUUGCUGGAUCUUCUGGGAGGGCUCAGAUUUCCUGUUUUUACCCCAUCCCUUUGUGAGAAAAGCCACUGUGUAGUGGCUUACAGGGAAGAUGCCUAACCUUGGAUCAUGUGGCCUGGUCACCUGGGAGUUUGAAUUUGAGACACAGAUGCAUCAGUGAGUAGAGGCACAAUAAAAUAUCAAUUGUUCUUAUUUUUCCUAAAUAUUAUCUUCCCUGGGAGGGAGAAGAAUAUAAAAGUAUUCCCCCAGUCCUCCCAGAAUUAUACAUCAGGGGAAUUUGAGGGCCACAAAGUAAAGCGCAUUGCAGUGACUGAUGCGUGGUUGUUGCUGCAGAGCUGGGCACCUUCACUUCCCUGCACUCUUAGGGCCCAAUUGGCCCCAGGAACCAAGGCUUGAGCACUGGCAUUUCCUCCCACAGCAGGAGAAGCCAUAAUUUCCUGAGAGCAGUGAGAAGCAAGCCCAAGGAACUGGCUCCCGUCUGCCCCACCUGACCCAACAGGGCUGGACAGGGCUCAGGGAGACUCUUCAGGAACAAUGCUUAGUAGGCAGGAGGUCACAGGGGAGAGCAAACCUAGCCUCCCUUGAAGGAGGGUUGGGAGGAAGCAGGAGGGCUUCCCACCUUCAGUUCAAGGGACUCAAGAGUGAAAGGGUCUGUAGAUUCAGAAGUUGGUUGAUUUACAUAUUGACAAUAAGUAUAUACACUUAUUCCAAUGUUACACACAAUCCUUUAACUUUUACUAGUUCACACACUCAUAUGUUACCAUUUAAUGCUGGCGUGUGUGGGGACCAAUUUCCAUACAUGUCAUGAGGAUGUUCUAGGGGAAAUUAGCUUUCAACAUCAUAUGGAUCUCUUCCUCAAAACACUUAACUGCUAGCAUUUAUAGUGUUCUUACUCUGUGCCACUGUUCUAAAUGAUUUGUAUGUAAAAACCCAUUUAAUGUUCACAUCUAGCACAAGAGAUAGUGCUCCUAUUAUGUCCUUUCCACAGAGAAGAAACCUGAGUCAUAGACACCUUGUCUAUGGUCACACAGCUAGUACUUAGGAGAGGCGGGGCUUGAAUCUGGGCAGUCUGGCUCCAGAGCCACUGUUUUUUCUGGUCUCUUAAAAGUCUCUUGCUUUGUUGUGAGAGUGAUUCUGCCCGUCUUGUCACCAUCUGCCAUUUGGCUAGUGGGCUGGAUCCUGCUUUAUCUCCCUGCAGCCUGCUGGUCCUCUGGGUCUUCCUCUUUUCCCUCUACCUUUAUCCUUAUGGGAGCUGAUGAACACACCUCCGGGUUCUGGUCACUUCCCAUCCCUUCCUGCAUCUUCACUCUGACACUCUCACAGCCUUACACCUUCCCUGAGCCCCAGGCCAGGGAUGGGAACUUAGCUGGUUCUGUGGUCCCACUGGCCCACACAGCUGGGGCGGGCACAUCCCCAGGGGCUGGGAAGAGCAGGAGGACUAGGAAGGAAAAGGCUGGGGAGGGCAGCAGUGUGCAGCUUCAGUUCUGCGUCUUGGCUGCUGCCCUCUAGUGGCAGCCAGAGGAGCUGCAGAGGACCAAAGCCAGAGCUAGUUCAAGGCCUAUUGAAGGAGUUUUGAGAGACCGUGGGAGGCCUUAUCACCAGCGUUAAGUGUGUGGGCCAGGAGGGCACGCCAGGAGAACACACACACACACACACACACACACACACACACACACACAUUACACACAGAUGGAGACAAAGUCCACAUCGGCAUCUGGGCCUCUGCUGCCCCUGCCUGGCCUGGCCUGGUUGUGUGAGAGACACAGUGAAGUCAGAGACAGAUGGUGGCAGGCCUGGAGACCCAAGUCCCUCUUCCUUUCUGAUCUUCUUCUCCCCCUGUGGAGCUCCUUCCUGCCCCUUUCCCUGUCAGCACCCCAGCCCCAAAGGAAGCACAGUUAUGCCCCCCACUGUACCCUCACACAUACAAUGUCACUGAAUGAUAUCCCCUCUCCAAGAUGCCCAUGUCCUAGGGGAAAUUUUUCCUAGGAUGGUCUGUGUAAUCAGCAGCUUUAUUGUUUGACAUCUCACCCCUCUGGUCUUUGUUUUGCUGCAGCUUAGCCAGAGCAAAAUUUGGUUAAGAAACAAACCACAAACAAUGAAAAACAAUGACCCCUGCUAUGUUCACAUAAUCUAUACGUCCCAGGAGUCUAGGCCUCCUGACCCUGUUUCUCUGCUCUGCCUCCCCCACCCCAAACAGCUGCCCUGGUGUUCCUGGCACCCCUGUCACAUGCCUGGGGCCCCAACUCAAGUGGCUGAAUUAAAGGGCCUUCUAAUGACAAGUCCUCAAAGGGCUCUAUUAAUUGCCUUUCAUUAAGCUACUAGGCCUGAGAGGACCACGUGGGAGGUGAGGGUGAGGGGGUGAGGCUGGGGAAUAACAGGAAAGAAUAAGGUGGGGGAAGGGAAGCAGUCUGGGACUUCGUACAGAUCACGAGACCCUUGCUGACCUCUCUUUCUCUCUCUCUUGUCUCUCCCUGGCUCUGUCUGUCUCUGUGUGUGUGUGUGUGUGUGUGUGUGUGUGUCUCUCUCUCUCUCUCUCUCUCUCUCUCACGCGCGCACACACACACACACACACACACACACACACAGCAGAGCCCCUGAGCAGGGUUGUGGGGAAGCAGCCAGCUAACGGAAGCCCAACCAGGGCUGGGAGCUCCUCUCCAAGGAAGGAGGCAGCCCCAUUGGCCAGGACGGCAGAGAGCCAUUCGUUUGUGUCUGUCUUUAGCAUAACACAGAUCAUUGGAAUCAUGGCUGGAAUGUCUCCCCAUCUUUAUUCAAGCAGCUCUGAGUGGUCUACCAGACCAGGAAUUGCUGAUUAGAAGAAAAGAAACUGCUCUCUCUGACAAGCUAGCUCCCCUCCUUGGGGGGGGGGGGGGAGGGAAAAGGAUGAAAUGAAUAUAUCACAGAACUAAGGUUUUUCAGGACCAGGAGAUGGCUAGUUCUACCAUCCACUUCACAAAGCAGGCCA
rnacentral:lncRNA from 1 species